CGGAAGUGAGGCGUCUUCUCGCGCGCGUGCGCUGUCCGUUGCCGCGGCGCCGUCGGAGCGCCGUCGCGCUGCAGCCUGGGAGGAGAUUGGGCUGUGCAGCGGCAGGCGGUGCGGGUUACAAUGACUGCAUCAAAUAAAGCACUGGAGCUUCAGCUGCAGAUAAAGCAAAAUGCUGAAGAACUGCAGGAUUUUAUGAGAGAAUUGGAGAGCUGGGAAAAGGAUAUUAAAGAAGUUGAUUCUGAAUUAAGGAAACAGAGUGGUGUCCCAGAAGAGAAUUUACCACCCAUUCGAAACAAAACUUUUAAGAAAAAGAAGAAAAGCAAAAGUAAAGUCCCAUCAAAGACAACCACUGAGGAAAACAAGAAAAACAAGAUCAAGUCUUAUGAUUAUGAAGCUUGGGGAAAACUCGAUGUGGAUAAAAUACUGGAAGAACUUGAUAAAGACGAUAGUACUCAUGAUUCUGUAUCUCCAGAAUCAGACUCUGAAGAAGAUGGAAUUCAUAUAGAUAAAGAAAAGGCUCUUGCAGAGAAGGAAAAGGGUAACAAAUACUUUAAACAAGGAAACUUUGAUGAAGCUAUAAAGUGCUACACUAAAGGGAUGCAUUCUGAUCCAUUCAAUCCAGUACUGCCUACAAACAGAGCAUCUGCUUUUUAUAGAAUGAAAAAGUUUUCUGUUGCAGAAUCUGAUUGCAAUUUAGCACUUGCUUUAGAUAAAAAUUAUACAAAGGCUUAUGCCAGAAGAGGGGCUGCUCGUUUUGCUUUGAAAAAUUUUCAAGGUGCUAAAGAAGAUUAUGAAAAAGUUUUAGAGCUGGAUGCCAACAACUUUGAAGCAAAAAAUGAACUGAAGAAAAUAGAACAGGCUCUAUCAUCUGAAAGCUCAAAACAAAAAGAGUUCGAAGAAGCAGCCAAAUCAGAGUUAACAGACAAUGAGAGAAGGUGCAUUGAGGAAGAGCAGCUCAAGCAGAAGGCUGUUAUAGAAAAAGAUUUGGGUAAUGGUUAUUUCAAAGAAGGAAAGUAUGAGGCUGCUAUAGAAUGUUAUACACGUGGUAUAGCAGCAGAUGGCACCAAUGCACUUCUGCCAGCUAACAGAGCCAUGGCCUAUCUCAAGAUACAGAAAUAUGAAGAGGCAGAAAAUGACUGUACACAAGCUCUUCUGUUAGAUGCAUCUUACUCUAAAGCUUUUGCUAGAAGAGGAGCUGCAAGAGUUGCUCUUGGAAAGCUAAAAGAAGCUAUGCAAGAUUUUGAAGCUGUUUUGAAGCUGGAACCUGGAAAUAAACAAGCAAUUAAUGAACUCACUAAAAUAAGGAAUGAAUUAGCUGAGAAAGAACAGUCAUGUCAUGAAGAGUAUCCUCCAGAAUUGAUAAAAGAAUCCGAAAUAAAAAAUGUAGUGAAACUCAUUCAUAAUCCAUUAAAUCAGAGAUCAACAAAGCCUUUGCGGAGAAUAGCCAUUGAAGAAGUUGAUGAUGACAUGCUGAGUAGUGAUUUCUCCAGCUCUUCUUCUUUAGUUCAUAACUGGAAGAAUUCAGUGAAUAUUGAAACAACAGAGAAUCUAGAUCAGGACAAUCAGUUAACUUCAGUGGACAUUCCAAAAGCAAAGCAAUUGAAAAUCGAAGAAAUCACAGAUGUGUCGUCACCACAGCUUCCUGCUGGUGUCAAAGGAAUUUCAUCAGUAUUGCAUCCAUCUGUGAACAAGCAGAUAGAUAGAGAAAGCAAAACAUCAUUUAGAUCUGCAUCUCCAGUCCCUGCCAUUCCUGCAAAUUCUUUCCAGCUUGAAUCUGAUUUCAGGAAGUUGAAAGAGUGCCCAGAAAAAAUGUACUUGUACCUGAAGCAAAUAGAGCCUUCGAUUUAUCCAAAACUGUUCCAGAAAUCCCUAGAUCCAGACUUGUUCAACCAGAUAAUGAGAAUUCUACAUGACUUCUACAUUGAUUAUUUUUAUGUUUCUAAUAAUUUUCUCCAGGAAAGAGGAGCCAUCACUCAUCCUUGAAAUCCUCCAAAGGCUAUCUGAAUUAAAAAGAUUUGAUAUGGCAGUAAUGUUUAUGUCAGAAUCAGAGAAGAAAAUUACACAGGUACUAUUCAGUCAUGUGAAACACAUGGGAUUGAAAGAUGCUUCUGUUGAAGAACUGGAGAAGAAAUACGCCGUAUUCUCUUAGUGAGUUUCCUGACAACUACACGUGUGAAUUGCUCUGUUUCCAUGCUUCCGUCAUGUUGAACUCAGCUCAAGAAUCCUAUAAAGACUGGAGUUUGGUUGCUUUUGUAUAUGUGGUUAGAUUCUUAAAGUUAAUUCAUCCAAAUGGCCAGUGCCUGGAGAGAGAAUUUCUUAGUUCUGCAGACACAUUUACUUUCCAGCACCUGAAACAAUACAGAUUUACUUAUCUUCAGUGGAAUCUGUUAAAAAAUGAUGAAUAGUGUUCCAGAUUGCAACUGCAGAUGGAGAUCUUUAUUAAAAAGAAAAAAAUUAUAUUUAUGAACAUUCUUUUGGUAAGAAUCAAAUGAUGUGUAAGAAUUUUUUUUUUUUUAUUUCAGAAAAUAAAAUAAAUGUUGAGCUAAA